CUUUUGUUUUUCUUUUUGCUACAGAAAAAUGAUACAGUUAUCACUUUUCGUCCACAAGAGUCAGUUUUUGAACGAUGGAGUCAGAUCCCACUUGAAAUCAAAAAGGAGGCUGGACAGCGGAUGAAAAUCUGUGUCUUUUUGCUUCCUAUUCUAUUGCAGCGGGACGAGUCCAGCAAUGCUGUUUGCUGGGCUGCAGAAAUAGGUCUAAUCAGCUCAAAGAACACAGAGGACCUACGUCUGAAGCACCUGCGCAAGAUUGAGACAGUGGAGACAAUCCUCAGAGCCUUGGAGCAAGGAUCUUUGAAAAAGGACCAAAGCAAACAUGUUAAACUUGGUAAGUGUUUUUUUUUUUCUCAGGGUAGAAAAUAUAAAUUUGAACACAUCUGUGUGUGUGUGUAAGGAUCAGGGUUGUUGAAUUGAACUUGUGGGUGUUGCAGCAUCGCACCGUUGAGGUUUUGGAUGAUGCCUUACACUGGUUGGAGCAAACGGAAGAACCUGACGUACGCACUCGCCUGAUGGAUCUCGGCCACGGACACACCUGCUUCACAGCUCUUCACUUUAUCUUCACAGAGUGUAGGUUACAGUCAUGCUCAGCGCUCUGCUUUCAUCCACUCACUCUUCUCGUCAUUCAUGUGAAGCUAUUGAUUCUUGUUUUGUUUAGUUGCCAAGUAUAUUCAAGACAUGGGAGGACGCCAUGAAAAGACCAUGAAGUCACUGAUGGCUAAACCUGGAAGUUAUUCUAUAGAAUAAAUAAUAUAAUAUUGUAUUUAUAUAAUAAUAU
rnacentral:lncRNA from 1 species